GCUUUCUCAUGAGCUCCUCUCUGCCGAUCAGUGGCGUUGUAUGGAUUCGCACGAGAAGAAGAGACUAAUCACAAAUUGAACAGGCACCCCCCUAAUCUCAACAGGUGUUGCCCAUGUCUGCUGUGAAACAAUU
rfam:Salmo gairdneri T23 gene